UCUCUCUCUCUCGGUUACAUCCUCCGUUCUCGCCGGCGACGAUCAUCUCCAAAUCCAGUUCUCCUUCAAUGGUGAUCUUCUCCAAAUACCCAAAAUCCGAAUUCCCCAGAACUGCUGGUGAUUUUCAGUUGUUCUUCUAUAUGUUGCAAAGGCCCGAUCGAUGAUUCAGAUGGGUUCGCCGAAGCCGAUUCCGAUCCCUACCUUGUCUUCGUUUGAAGGAUCACUGUGGAUGAAGGAAUGAACCGUGUCGCCUCGCCUGCAAUGAAGUGUGUUUUCAGGGUCUGCAUUGACAUCUAGCUUGUAUUCUCGAGCGUUGCAGCCGUCCUGCUGAUUCAAUGAAUCAUAGCCGCACGUAACAGGUCUGUCUGAUCAUCACAUUGUGGUGCUGGAUGGACAUCAUUGACAUGGUCAAAGCAAAAAGCCAAACAAACAAGACAUUGUGUUGGAUAAUCCUACGAGCCGGAGGGAUGCAAAAGAAGAGAGCAUAACACAAAAAAAGACAAGGACAUCUUCUUGCCAAGUCCUCAGGUUCGGUCCCCUAGCUGGAUGUCAUCCCUGUGGCAUCAUUGACAGCUCACGCGAGUACGGUUGCUCUCCAUCUGAUUUAUCAGAGAGGAAAGACGUUUAGACAGACAAAUGACAAAAACAUGAAACAAAGAUUGUACACAAUGUCUGUUUUUCUGCAGUUUGUCAACGCUUUUAUAUAGAACAAGCUACAUUUUAACAGCAUGAAUGAAGCUGGCCCACAAUUUGUCCCCAAGAUUCAAUAAUAAUAACAAUAACAAGAAGUUUUCA